UUGGAGGGCAAGUCUGGUGCCAGCAGCCGCGGUAAUUCCAGCUCCAAUAGCGUAUAUUAAAGUUGUUGCAGUUAAAAAGCUCGUAGUUGAACCUUGGGUCUGGCUGGCCGGUCCGCCUCACCGCGAGUACUGGUCCGGCUGGACCUUUCCUUCUGGGGAACCUCAUGGCCUUCACUGGCUGUGGGGGGAACCAGGACUUUUACUGUGAAAAAAUUAGAGUGUUCAAAGCAGGCCUUUGCUCGAAUACAUUAGCAUGGAGUAAUAGAAUAGGA
rnacentral:rRNA from 1 species